AUAUUGCACAAUGGGGGAAACCCUGAUGCAGCCAUGCCGCGUGUGUGAAGAAGGCCUUCGGGUUGUAAAGCACUUUCAGCGAGGAGGAAAGGUCAGUAGCUAAUAUCUGCUGGCUGUGACGUUACUCGCAGAAGAAGCACCGGCUAACUCCGUGCCAGCAGCCGCGGUAAUACGGAGGGUGCAAGCGUUAAUCGGAAUUACUGGGCGUAAAGCGCACGCAGGCGGUUGGAUAAGUUAGAUGUGAAAGCCCCGGGCUCAACCUGGGAAUUGCAUUUAAAACUGUCCAGCUAGAGUCUUGUAGAGGGGGGUAGAAUUCCAGGUGUAGCGGUGAAAUGCGUAGAGAUCUGGAGGAAUACCGGUGGCGAAGGCGGCCCCCUGGACAAAGACUGACGCUCAGGUGCGAAAGCGUGGGGAGCAAAC
rnacentral:rRNA from 1 species